GUCGGGCUCCCUUCCCUGUGCUGACCCAGGGCUGCUGGGCUCUGGGCUGCAGGACUGAGCUCCGGCCACCAGGUGGUGCCCCUCCAGCCCGGCUCCUUAGCCCCCAGCAGGGAAUGGACACAGGGGGGCCCGGUGGGUUCCUGGGGCCCUUGGCGGGGUCUCCUCUGACGACCCCUGCGACAUCCACUCUUGCCCGCAGACUCGCCCACUUCCAGGACUCCAUCCCCGAGGGCGUGCCUGUCUUUGGGGAGGGGGACAUGAACCCCAUGUUCGUCUACCGCAAGUCCCUGAUGAGGACAGACUACGUGGCCCAGGGGGAGGAGGAGCCCGCCACCAACCCGUUUGACGCCAUAUGCAAAGACAGCAAGCGGCCCCAAGGGACGUCUUUGAUGUUGACUUCCUGUCAUCAGAGGACUCUGAGAACUCUUCUAACGAAGACGUGGAUGUGGAGGGCAUCUCCGUCCACGAGGGGGUGUCGGACUGAGGAGGACACAUGCCCCACUGGGACUCGCGUCGGGAGCUCCUCCUCGGUUGCUGCCUUGUGUCCCUGGGCUCGGGGAGCCAGUGGCGUCCAGGUGCGGCUGACCCAGGCCCCCGGGGGCUCCAGGCGGAUGAUGGUGACCCCUGCCAUCUGUUCCUGUGCAUCCCAGCCCCGGACGUGGGCAGAGGGCCACGUGACCGUUGACUGGGGCCCCUGGGGUGCCCACGCACCCACCUACCUACCCACCAGGUGCCUACCCGCCUGCGACGUCCUGUCUGGCGACUGCUGUGCUUGGCUAGAAGGUUCCAGAACCAGCUUUGCCCCCCGCCCUAGAGCAUGGUGCUGGCUCCCUCGUCCGGCAUCGUCCCACGUGCUGCGGCUCUGGGUGGGCCGCCAGCUCUUCCUUUCCCGUCCAGGGCCCCGCUAUUGGGCGUUCCCCGGUGUCCCGGGCUGA
rnacentral:lncRNA from 1 species